AUCCGCGUAGCUUAAUUGGAAAAGUGAUGAGAACGUUCGGUUAACUAUGUACAUUGGUUGUAGGUUCGAGCCCUACCGCGGAUGCCA
rnacentral:tRNA from 1 species